rnacentral:lncRNA from 1 species
CUUGACUUGUUGAGUGCGUCCAUGUCUGCGGCGCAGGAGAAAGAUAGAAGUCCUCAUGUUAUCCUUGUGUGGUAUGGUCUAUGUGUUAUGAUAUAGAGAAUUAAGAUUUGUGUGUUCCAGGUUUUUGGUUCAGUUCAUAAUAUAAUGGGAAGUCAUUAAAUUCUUGAGCAGCACGGACAUCUGCAGGAGAUUUAAGAAUCGAUCUUCAGAUGAAUGAGGAAGAUGGUAUUGCUAUGCAGUUAUUUGGUGGGGGUAUAUGUUCAAAGAAGGGACAAGGUAAUGUAAACUGAUAAUAUUUGGUGGUAUUGCGGUAUUCCCUUGUUGGGUCGACUAUUGAUAAUUGAGUUGUUGAUGCGC